GAUGAACGCUAGCGGCAGGCUUAACACAUGCAAGUCGAGGGGUAUAGGUUUUCGGACCUAUAGACCGGCGCACGGGUGCGUAACGCGUAUGCAAUCUACCUUUCACAGAGGGAUAGCCCAGAGAAAUUUGGAUUAAUACCUCAUAGUAUAGCAGUUUCGCAUGAAACCACUAUUAAAGUAUCAACGGUGAAAGAUGAGCAUGCGUCCCAUUAGCUAGAUGGUAAGGUAACGGCUUACCAUGGUUACGAUGGGUAGGGGUCCUGAGAGGGAGAUCCCCCACACUGGUACUGAGACACGGACCAGACUCCUACGGGAGGCAGCAGUGAGGAAUAUUGGUCAAUGGACGCAAGUCUGAACCAGCCAUGCCGCGUGCAGGAUGACGGUCCUAUGGAUUGUAAACUGCUUUUGUACGAGAAGAAACAACAUUACGUGUAAUGUCUUGACGGUAUCGUAAGAAUAAGGAUCGGCUAACUCCGUGCCAGCAGCCGCGGUAACAC
rnacentral:rRNA from 1 species